rnacentral:snRNA from 1 species
ACGCUCUGGUUUCUCUUCAGAUCACACAAAUCUUUCCCCCCUUACUAAAGGUUUCCGUGGAGAAGAACAACCCUGAGCCUUAACCGGGUCUUACCUCAGUCUUUGCGCCAGCGGGGCUG